rnacentral:sRNA from 1 species
UCGCAGAAGUCGAGUAUCGCCUGCCAG